UCAGAAUAAAUAAAUUUUCAUUGCAUUCUUCACACAGGUUGAAUAUAACUGCCUAUGUUUCAAUGCGCUGAAAGGUUUACUAGGUUCGUAUAUGUAAGUCAUUCUCGUCCUUUUUACCAAGUUACAGACGACAAAAAUCCUUUACCUCAGAGGACAAUAGAAGACCCAGCUUUCACACCUCACCAUACCAUAUGUCUUCUCUUUACAUUGCUGUCUUUUUGCCUCUUUAUUUCUUCUCCCCCAGUUUUCUACCAGGAAGUAGAAUCCAUUUUCAUGUUUUUUUUACAUUCAUGGUCUCAAGAUCUAGCUGCUGAUGGUUGGGAAGCAACGCAGAGGCUGCAUGAUGUUGCAAUGAUGCAUAACAAAGGUAACUCAUCUCUCUGACACUGAAUUCAUUAGGAAUUGUGCGGUCACUGCUAGAUGUUAGGAAGUACCUUGUAGGUUGCACAUUGUAUGCUCCUUGAUAACUACAUGGCUAAGUGAAGAAGGUAAAUUUUCUCUCAGACAUUAAGUUUAUUUUAGAAUAUUAAUGUAACUUCACUUUGAUGUACUCCCUAUGUUCCUAACGAUAAGAUAUUUUGGUAAGCUGAAUUGACUUGCCAAAACAUCUUAUAUUUUGUGAACGGACAGAGUAGUUAUUUUUUUGAUGAUCCAAAUUUAUGGCUAAAUUCUUUUGGUGACAUUGUAGGAUAAUUAACUGAACAUCCAUGUGUUCUUCGGAUACCUGAUCUGCAAAGUUCCAGUUUGUGCCAAAGAAAUUUCAUGAAAUACAAAUGUGUAUUUGGCUGUGUACCAAGAAUCUGGAACUUUAGGCUGAACCGGUCAGGUGUUUAUCAACCAUCUCAUAUAGAAAAUGGAUGAUAUCUUUGGUUUUAGUUUGUGGGAUAUAUAGUUUUUUAUCUCUGCAUUUUUGCUUCUGACUUGCAACUGGAGAUUGCUAAAACAAUAUGAAUGGUUAUCUUUUGCAACCUGAAUUAGUUUUUAAGAUGAGCAUAACUUGA